UACGCAGGGGGCUAGCGUUGUCCGGAUUUAUUGGGCGUAAAGAGCGUGUAGGCGGCCAGGUAGGUCUGCUGUGAAAACUCGAGGCUCAACCUCGAGACGUCGGCGGAAACCAUCUGGCUAGAGUCCGGAAGAGGAGAGUGGAAUUCCUGGUGUAGCGGUGAAAUGCGCAGAUAUCAGGAAGAACACCUAUGGCGAAGGCAGCACUCUGGGACGGUACUGACGCUGAGACGCGAAAGCGUGGGGAGCAAACAGG
rnacentral:rRNA from 1 species